CAAUAGCGUAUAUUAAAGUUGUUGCGGUUAAAAAGCUCGUAGUUGGAUUUCUGCCGAGGACGUCCGGUCCGCCCUCUGGGUGAGUACAUGGCACGGCCUGGGCAUCUUCUUGGGGAACGUAUCUGCACUUGACUGUGUGGUGCGGUAUCCAGGACUUUUACUUUGAGGAAAUUAGAGUGUUUCAAGCAGGCACACGCCUUGAAUACAUUAGCAUGGAAUAAUAAGAUAGGACCUCGGUUCUAUUUUGUUGGUUUCUAGAGCUGAGGUAAUGAUUAAUAGGGAUAGUUGGGGGCAUUCGUAUUUAACUGUCAGAGGUGAAACUCUUGGAUUUGUUAAAGACGGACUACUGCGAAAGCAUUUGCCAAGGAUGUUUUCAUUGA
rnacentral:rRNA from 1 species